AACGAACGCUGGCGGCAUGCCUAACACAUGCAAGUCGAACGAGACCUUCGGGGCUAGUGGCGCACGGGUGCGUAACGCGUGGGAACCUGCCCUUAGGUUCGGAAUAACUCCCCGAAAGGGGUGCUAAUACCGGAUAAUGUCUUCGGACCAAAGAUUUAUCGCGUUUGGAUGGGCCCGCGUUGGAUUAGCUAGUUGGUAGGGUAAAAGCCUACCAAGGCGACGAUACAUAGCUGGUCUGAGAGGAUGAUCAGCCACACUGGGACUGAGACACGGCCCAGACUCCUACGGGAGGCAGCAGUGGGGAAUAUUGGACAAUGGGCGAAAGCCUGAUCCAGCAAUGCCGCGUGAGUGAUGAAGGCCUUAGGGUUGUAAAGCUCUUUUACCCGGGAGGAUAAUGACAGUACCGGGAGAAUAAGCGCCGGCUAACUCCGUG
rnacentral:rRNA from 1 species